UAGGGAAUAUUGCACAAUGGGCGCAAGCCUGAUGGAGCAACACCGCGUGAGUGAAGAAGGGUUUCGGCUCGUAAAGCUCUGUUAUUGGAGAAGAACGUGCGUGAGAGUAACUGUUCACGCAGUGACGGUAUCCAACCAGAAAGUCACGGCUAACUACGUGCCAGCAGCCGCGGUAAUACGUAGGUGGCAAGCGUUAUCCGGAUUUAUUGGGCGUAAAGAGCGUGUAGGCGGCUAGGUAGGUCCGUUGUGAAAACUCGAGGCUCAACCUCGAGCUGUCGAUGGAAACCAUCUAGCUAGAGUCCGGAAGAGGAGAGUGGAAUUCCCAGUGUAGCGGUGAAAUGCGUAGAUAUUGGGAGGAACACCAGUGGCGAAGGCGGCUUACUGGACAGUGACUGACGUUGAGGCUCGAAAGCGUGGGGGAUCGAACAGGAUUAGAUACCC
rnacentral:rRNA from 1 species